GAUGAACGCUGGCGGCGUGCCUAUUACAUGCAAGUCGAGCGAAUGGAUUAAGAGCUUGCUCUUAUGAAGUUAGCGGCGGACGGGUGAGUAACACGUGGGUAACCUGCCCAUAAGACUAGGAUAACUCCGGGAAACCGGGGCUAAUACCGGAUAACAUUUUGAACCGCAUGGUUCGAAAUUGAAAGGCGGCUUCGGCUGUCACUUAUGGAUGGACCCGCGUCGCAUUAGCUAGUUGGUGAGGUAACGGCUCACCAAGGCAACGAUGCGUAGCCGACCUGAGAGGGUGAUCGGCCACACUGGGACUGAGACACGGCCCAGACUCCUACGGGAGGCAGCAGUAGGGAAUCUUCCGCAAUGGACGAAAGUCUGACGGAGCAACGCCGCGUGAGUGAUGAAGGCUUUCGGGUCGUAAAACUCUGUUGUUAGGGAAGAACAAGUGCUAGUUGAAUAAGCUGGCACCUUGACGGUACCUAACCAGAAAGCCACGGCUAGCUACGUGCCAGCAGCCGCAGUAA
rnacentral:rRNA from 1 species